rnacentral:lncRNA from 1 species
GUGAAGAAACUUCCUGUUGGCAGUUGAAGCCGACCAUGGUGGGUGUAUUUAUGGUACAGAAUUGGCAAACACUGCAGUCCAGGCCUUAAUUUAUUGUUUGUUGAUUGUCUAGACCAGGAGCUGGUUAACCAGCCCACAACCUGUUUUGGUUCAAUCCUUAAACUAAGAAUGAAUUUUUUACAUUUUCAAGUACAAAAGGAAGAAAGGAGAGAAAAUAUAUGACAGACAGUACAUGGCUGCAAAGCCUUAAAUAUUUACCAGCAGGCCCUUUGCAAGAAAUGUUUCCAGAACCUGAUGGAGAAAAUAUUAAUGCAAAUGAGACUGAAAAGCUUCCUUGCUGGCUAUCAGCUGGAUGUCACCCUCAGCUUAUGGAAGCAGCCUCAUUCCUUGUCACGUGGCCCCUUCUAGCUUCAAAGCCAGCAAGGGAGACUACCCCUGAGCUGAAGGAAUCCCUCCCACACAGUGAAUCUCUCUCACCAGGAAGCGCCCAGUCCCUUGUAAGGGCUCACCCUGGAGUCAGUUUCUGCCACAUCUACCUCUUUCACUUACAUUAUUAUUUUGAGAAUUUAAUGAGAUCAAGGAUACAUAAAAACACUUUACUACAAUAUAGAAUCUACAAUGUUAAAAAGUGCUCUAUAAAGUUAAAAGUGCUAUAAAGUGCUAUAAAGCAUUGUUAUGGACCUCCAUGACUUCUCAAAUUCACAUAUCUGAAUUUCUGAUAACAGAGUUCCUUUCCAAUUCUUAGUUCAGAACCCAGGAUGGAGGCACAUCUUUGACCCCGCUUUGGUUUUGUAACUUCUUCCAAGUCACCCUGAAGAGCUUAUUGAGUCCAGCCAUAGGAUGGGGUCUGGGGACAUAGGUAACACAAAAUCCCCUCCAUGCUCUAUCUAGCAAGUUCUCUGCUUACUGAAUAAUCCUUCCUUUGGUAUCCCGAAUGCAAGAUUUUCCAUUCUUCCUUCCUCCCCUCCUCUCCUUCCUUUUCCCCCUGCCUCUCCCCCUCCUCCUCCUCUUCCUCCCUCUUUCCUUCUAUUUCUUUCACUAACAUACUUAGAAAAGUCUGUAAACAACCAAGCCAUC